rnacentral:rRNA from 1 species
GACGAACGCUGGCGGCGUGCUUAACACAUGCAAGUCACGGGGGCUCGCAAGAGCAACCGGCGAACGGGUGCGUAACACGUGAGCAACCUGCCGAUCUGAGGGGGAUAGCCGGCCCAACGGCCGGGUAAUACCGCAUACGUUCUCGAGGGGGAGUCCCCUUGGGAAGAAACCUCCGGGGCAGAUCGAGGGGCUCGCGGCCUAUCAGCUAGUUGGCGGUGUAAUGGACCACCAAGGCUUUGACGGGUAGCUGGUCUGAGAGGAUGGCCAGCCACAUUGGGACUGAGAGACGGCCCAGACUCCUACGGGAGGCAGCAGUGGGGAAUCUUGCGCAAUGGCCGAAAGGCUGACGCAGCGACGCCGCGUGUGGGAUGAAGCAUUUCGGUGUGUAAACCACUGUUGCCCGGGACGAACAUCCUCUUUCGAGAGGACUGACGGUACCGGGUGAGGAAGCACCGGCUAACUCCGUGCCAGCCGCCGCAG